rnacentral:lncRNA from 1 species
AACUUGAAAUUUGGGAUGGAUUACCCUACGGUAAUCCAUGAUUUUGUAAUGGUUGAUGCUAUUAAUUGAAGUUGGCCUUUUAGGUCUUUUUUCAAAAAAAAAAAACUAUGGCAUGAUUAACAUAUCAACAUGCCUAGAUAUGUUCAACACACAGACACAUAGCUUAGGUUACAACUCCAACAAUACAAUCUAUUCAAAAUCAACAAAAAUGAACACCACUAUCUACUUAUAAAUUAAGGUACAUGCCAACACAAAACUUAAUAUAAAAAAGGCAAUAAAAACAUCGUUGAGCUAAGAAAAGAGUCAUGGAUGUUUUGAUCAACACAACUCUACCAAACCUAUUUGUCACCUGCGCACAAAAAUAAACAAAUCCGCACUUAAUGGCGCUAACACAAUUUGUUAACAAUACAUAUACAUAUUAAAUAAGCAAACAUGCUAUAAUUUCAUUUGUAAUGAAAUCUAUAAUGAAGAUUACUAUCUCAUAAACUCAUUUCUUUAGUGCUCAUGAAAUCAUAGUUGGGUUUAUGUCUCGUAUAUUAACAUAUUGAUAUGUCCACAGUGCUUUCCAUUUCAAUCUCAAUUAUCAAAAACUUGUUUCAUUUCAUAUAUGAAUUUCAUUCUCAAUCAUAUGGCAUUUUCAUAUCUUAAUCAUACAUCACUAUGUACUUUAUCCACAUUACAUUGAUGUUUUGGCCCUUAUUAAUUGAAUUCGAACUAAAGGAUGAGUAUACAGAUCACUAUAUCGGUAUAUGCUCACGGACACCUAGUUCUCAGAAGCUAGUGAUAUGUUCUCAAGGGCACUUUGCGCUCUGGAGAACUAUCUGAUGUAAUGCAUCUAAUACUAAAAUGGUAAGUUCUUGACCCCCAAGGCUAUAAAGAACUACCGAAAUGAUAUGCUCUCGACACUAAAGAUAACUUCAACAUAAAAGAUCCUAUGGCACGCCAACUAUACCUAUAACUCCAUCCGAGACCGUUUAAUAGAGCAUUCAUAAUGUUUAAUAUGAAUGGAUUCAUAUAACAUUCAUUUCCUUUGUCAUCCUUUCAUAAUUUUUCAUUGUGUCACAAACAUGAACAUACAUAUUCGUAUAUACAAUAGUUCAACAAGUCAUCAAGUCACAAGUUAACUUACCUUUUAUAAAACAAAGCAUUAAGAUUACCUUAUUCAAUUUACUACUUAAUAAGCUAUGAAUUGAGCACAAAUUAUAAAAGCACAAAUCAGAAUUGCUAAUUGUUCAUCGCCUUCUUUCUUCUUUUCACCUUCAAGGUUCUGAAAUCGUCUUUAGCUUGUACUUAUGGGACGACAUUGGAGGAUGUAAAAACUAAAUUUCUUUCUUUCUUUUUUUCUUUGUUAGGGAUGGCUAGAGGAAGAUGAAAAUUAUGGCUUAUACUUCUCUCUUCCACUAACAUGCUAUAUAUACAUGUAAUUAGCAUAUAAUUUAAGCUUAAUUAAUCAAAAUACAAGGGCUUUAAAUCUAUAUCACCUAAGUAAGUGGAAUUUGAUGGCAAUGAUGAAGCUUAGACACUAAUUAAACUUCAAUUAUGGCAAUAUUACAAUUAAGGCCUUGAUUUUAUUACCACUUAAGGGCUUUCUCAAAUCUUAAUAAAUUCUCUCUAUAUAACUCACUUUCCAAUUUGGUCCCUGUGUUAUAAUUAGUAACUUUUCUCAUUUAAUCAUUUAAUAAAUAGAUUCUAUAAUUUUGUGUAAGACAUGUAAAUCUUUCGAUUAAAAAUUCCCAACUGACCCAUUUUACGAAAUUUGAUUUCAAAAUUGUAUUGUUUAACAUUGACUAAAAUCGAGUCGUUACAAAAGCUCAACAUCUAAAAUAAGAUAAAAGCCUCAUAAGUAUCAAAAAUACCAAAACAAAGUGUCAGAAAAUUAAUAGAAAGUGCAAAUGACAUUACAAAAGUAAAAGGCCAACUAAGACUCUUGAGAAUGAUGAUGCUCGUCCCUAAGAAAUGCUCAUGAAACUCAUGAACUUACACACAAAACACAAAUCCGCAUGUUGAGCUUUUCCAUUAAGCUUAGUGGUGCAUAUCCAAUUUCUAAAUAACUUUAUGAUUAAGCUAAAUUGAAAGCGUAAUAAACAAAUAUUAAUAGACAAUAUCAUAGCAUUCUUGAACAUAAAAGAAAAGCCAUUUAAAAUAUCAUGACAUCAAUCAUAUAUAUUAAAACCAUAGUAUUUUCACCUUCUACUAAAAAUGUAAUAUCUCAAAAUUUAUGAUAAGACACGUGCACUAUUCCAAAAUUAGAAAUAGUGAAAUUGCAAGAAAAUUUGAAAAAUAGUCAAAUAAAGAAUUCUUAUAAUAACAAAAUUGAUUUUGAAGAUGUAAAUUAAUGAAAAGAUUUUUAGAAGUGAGAAUGUGGCAAAAAGGACUAAAUCACACAUUUGGAAAAGUUUGAGGACUAAAGUGCAAUGUACCCACAAAGAAAAAAAAUAUAGUACUACAUAUUAUUUAACAUGGAAAUAGUUUGGAAAAUUUAUUAGAAUAAUGGAAAUCGCUUUUGGGAUCGAAUUGAAAAUAUUUGAUAGUAUAAACACUAAAUUACAAAUUUUCCAUCUUUACUGAAAAAAGAGCGAAUGUGUAUUUUUUUCCACCUAUAGAAUAAUAAUAAAGUUUUAUUACAAUUUAUGAGAUUUACUUAGACAAAAUACUUAAUUUUAUGAAGAAAUUGUGUCAAGUAGUAAAAAAUGGAAAAAUCAUAAUUUACCAUGAAAGGGUAUUUUGUUAGUUCUUGAAGAUUUUAUAAUGGGGACGUUAUUUAAAUGAGAUAUUCGAUAAUUAGAAUUAUUAUGGAUCAUUUAGUUAUCGUGUUAAAGAACCAGAUCAUGACUUAUCAAAUUUUGGACUUAAACUUUAGAAAUGGGCCUUGGCCCAUUUGAUGAGUAUUUUAAAAGAAUGAAAAAAAAUAGAGAAUCCACCAUUUCCCCCCUUGGUCAAUAGCAUCCAUAGAGAAGGUGAGAAAGCUUCCCCAGCCUGUUUUCUUUUUCUUUUUCGUUUCUCAUCACCCACCUUGAUUUUCUUGCUCAAAUCACUUAGAAAUUAAACUCCAUGAUAGUUUUAUACUAUAGUUUCCUCCAUUUUUAGCUAGGUUUCCUGAUGGUUUUAGUGGGAGAAACUAUGGCUAGUGAGAGAAAGCUCCAUUAAGGUAAUAUAUGGUGUUUUUUAUCCUCCCUAACUUGAUAUUUGUUAUGGAUUGUUAUGAGAAAGUUUUUGUGUUAAUUUUAGUUAUAUUUUUGUGUGUAUGGAAAAUGAGGAAAUCUCAUGAAAUGAGGUUUCAAGCUUAAUUGAGGAUGGAUUCAAGCUUAUGAAGGCAUGAUUUUAUGUUGGCAUACAAAAAGGUAAGUAUCCUUGGAUACCCUUACCUAUCUUAAUAAGUUUAAAGAAAAUUUAUGAAUAUGAAAAUGAUAUUGAAAUGUAUUAAAUGUUAGAAAUAAGUAACUUGGAAUAUUAAUGCUUAAUAAGCCUAGAAUAUACGACAUUUUAAAUUCAUAGUAAAAUGUCAUGAGAAUUUGGUUGCCAUGGAAUGCCUAAUGAAUAUGUUAUUGUACAAAGGUGAGAAUAGGGAAAAAAUUGACAUUAAAAAAAUGUAUUAAUAUGUCAUGAUGAAAAAGUUGUGAUUGACUUGAAAAUUUUAAAGGUUGUUAAUGGAAUCAAUCUAUUAUUAUAAAUAUGAACUUGAAAUGUGAAGAAAUAUGUAUGUGGUCACGAAAAUAUAAAUUUUUCUAUAUAUAGACAUAAAAUAUCAUAAUGACUAUGAUAAUAGUAAAGAACACAUGAAUUUGUUACUUCUAAUUUAUGGAAACCAUAGUAUAAAAGAUUAGAACAUGAUUAUAAGACUUAUGUGAUUUGCAUGUAUAUGUGUGAGAAUUUAGGCGCCUAGAUGUGGAGAUAGGCAAAGAAUAGAUUAACUAUGCUUUUUCUAUUUGAAAAAUAGAUACAUUAAUGGAUUAGAUGGAUAUAUGAUAUGUGUAAUGAUUAUAACAUGCCCUAGUAAAAUUAGUGAAAUGUUAGGAUACAGUUGGCAUGGAAAUUAGGGUUUAUAGUGUGUUUGAAGUUCUAUCAGAAGUUUUGCACUUGUGUGCACUUUACGUCACCUUCGAGCCUUGCACUUACGUGCACCUUGGUGUAGUGUAGUUUAUGCUCUCACGAGCCUUUUUGGUGUGGUGGAGGGAUGUAUUACGUUGCCUUAUGAUUCAGCAUUUUGGUUCUCUUUAGUGUGGUGGAGGAGUCAUGUGUAUUCGAGUUGUUUUACUAGAAUUUACUAAGGGCAUAAAUGAACUAAAAUCUUGAUAAUGAACUUGCUCAUGAAUAUUAAUCACUAUAUGUAAACUUCUCAAUAUGAAACAAAGGGAUUAGUCUAAAUGAGAUGAAAAAAGAAAGAGCAAAUGAUAAGUAAACUAAUAAAAAUUUAAUAGGAUAAUAUGCUUUAAAAAUGUGUAGCCUACUGAACUUGCCUUAAGCUAUAUUUAAAGAAAUCGAUGAAUCAUGUAUAACUCUAAUAAAAGAAAUGAAAAUGAAAUGUAUGAUUCAUAUAGGAAACAAAUGCCAUAAAUGAGAAUCAGGUAUGAACAUGUCAAGAAACUAUGAACUCUCCAUAAUAGUCUUGAAUAGGAAUUUUAUAAUACAGAUUGGUGAACAAACCAUCCAUAUAUUAAUUGAGCCCUUCCAUUCUGGUAUACUGAAACGAAUCAAGGAGUAGUAUUAAAAUGUUGCUUAAAUGAAAUUAGAAUGGCAUACAUAGUAAAGGCUCAAACUUGAUAAGAAAUAGGAUAGGUUUAUCCUUCAAUACUUGUUAAGCUCUUCAAGAUCACGCAUUAGUUGUCUUGAACAUGUAGGUAUUGGAUUUGUCGAGAAGUUUAAGGUUCUAGAUUGUGAGCUUCACAUCAAAAUUCAUUUUAAGGUUGUAUAUCAUUUUUAUUUUGGACUUCUUUGAUAUUAUAGAUUGGUAUGUACAUAAGGUUUUAGUUUGAAUAGUGGAUUUGUAAACUUGAAUUGUAAUUUAAGUAAUUUUGGUGUUUCUAAAUCAAGUUUUAUUUUGUUAUUUGGUUUGAAUGUUUUUAUGUCUUAUAUUCGCAUUUAAAUUAGUUUAGAAAUGGAAUUAUAAUGUUUUGAAAUUCAUUAAUAUAUUAUGGUAAUGUCUUGGGAUGUUUUAGAGAGAUUUAGGACAAAUUUUUAGCUCUAAGGCCUCAAUAUUGGUACUUGGUCUCUAUGGUAUCACAAGUCAAACAAAAUACAAAUUUCUAUAGUUCUAAGGACUUAAAUUGGCACAACUAGGGAAUUGUGUUGUAACCAUAGUGCAUGGCCCGAGCCACAACACUGUUUUAAAUUGAUGUGCUUUUUCAACGUUUGUUUUAGGUCCCGAGCACCUCCAAUAACCCUUGAACCACUUCAAAUGAUUUUAAAUUGAUUAUAAAUUCCCUAAACCAUAUCAUCUUAUUUCUAUGAUUUUAUUUAAGUUUUUUUAAAAUUUUAAAUUAUAGUAAAACUCUUAUUUUUCUCAUCUUGAUUAAUCUUUAAGCAAAAGAGUUUGGAACACUCGCUUUAUGGUUUGGCAAUAUCCCUAUAUAUAUUAAAUGACCCAAAAUGAUUUCUAAUCAUAUUUGAGUCUUCCUAAAAUUUGUCAAUUUGAUUUAAAGAACAUUAAUAUGUUGUGAAACAAAUGUUUCUACAAAUGAAAACUUUUGGUUUAAAUUAGAAAGUUUUCGAUAACAUCUCUCAUUCAUACCAUAUGUUGAGGCGAGUGAGGGGUGUUACAAAAAAGUGCUAUAGCAUAUUUAAUAGCAAUGCACAACUCAAGCCAACAUGAUAAUCCACCAACAAAUUCACAUCUCAAGCAACAUUAAUAUUUCUUAUAAGCAUUGCCCUUAUUGAUCAAACCUAGAAUAGUAAACGAGUAAAUGUAUAUCCAUCUGAAUCCUUGAAAUGUAGUGCAUAAGCACAAUAGGGUACACAAUAUAACAAAUAUCUAGUGUGUGUAUAACAUGACUUAACCAAUUGCUCCUCAAGAAUUGUGUAGAGUGCCACAAAACAAAUCUACCAAACACGUUAGACUAACCUAUAAACACAAAAUCUUUGAAAAACUCUAUGUAUAUAUAAUUACAUGUCAACUAUACUCGGAGUCUAUCGAAUUUUGUUAUAAGAUCAUUUCACAAUUAAAACAUGUAAUUUCAACAUAAUCAUACACCAAAACAUACCAACGAAUCAACAACGUCAUUCUCAAAUCGUAUCUCAAUAAAGCAUCUCAAGAAUCAACAUUCACAUAAUUGUCUUAGAUUCAACUUGAAAUUCAUAUGUAGCAUAUUGCUCACCAAUUAGACAUUUAAAACUAAUACCAUAAAAAUAGUCCCUAGCAAUUUAGACAAAAACAUAAAGUAAAUUAAAAUUAGAAUGCAUAAACAGAAACCAGCUACUCUUCCAACACUUUCUCCUUCCCUUUCACCAUCAAACUUUCACCAAAUUCUUUAGCUUCAAAUUCAUCACCAAAUAAAAAUAAAAAUUUAGAUUAACAAACACACCAUAAUAAUAAAACCCUAAAUUUAUUGAAAUGAUACAAUUCAAGGAAGCAAGACAUUAAUUUCACUUUUUAGACCACUUAAGAAAACUCUCCCAAACUUAGCUCUAACUUCUCCUAAUCUGAAAUCUAAUGGUAUAAUUAGUAUUUAUAGCUUAAAAACAUUCUAAACCUUACCUAAAACCAUCAAAACCAAGCAAAAUCCCUAACUUACCUUCUCACUUAAGAACUCAUCCAUAACGCAGGAACUUAGUCAAAUCCUCACCAAAGCUAAAAUUUCCCAUUCUAAUGAUUAUUUAAACAUGUAAAAACCAAGGAUAUAACAAGAAACCACUAGCAAAGACACAAAAUCAAACUCUCUCUAGGAUGCAUUUAACGUGAAAAUGGAGAAUAAGAAGAUGUUCCAAACUUUCAAAAUUUUGUUUUGUAGUAAUUUAAAAGGAUUUGUAAUCUUGAAAAACAUUAGAUCUCUUUUUAAAUUUUUAAUAUAAUCAUCAAAAAUCAAAAUCUCCUCCAAACUUGGAGAUUAAUAUGGAACAUAGUAAAGAGAAGGAAAAUGUUAAAAUCGAGCCUAGAAAAUUGAAAAGAUGAAGAAAAUAAUUUGAAACUCAUGAUUACCUUGCUGAAAUUGUUUGAUUGAAAUCAAGAAUUGAAGACUGAAGGAAAGAAAAAUGGAAAGAAUGUUGAGAGAAUUUUAAUCGGUUUGUUUGGAAUGGAGAAUUAAGUAAUCGUUCUCUCCAUUCGCUUUUACUAAAUGGUCUAUUUACU